GCGGUUUGUCGCGUCUGCUGUGAAAACCCGAGGCUCAACCUCGGGCCUGCAGUGGGUACGGGCAGACUAGAGUGUGGUAGGGGAGACUGGAAUUCCUGGUGUAGCGGUGGAAUGCGCAGAUAUCAGGAGGAACACCGAUGGCGAAGGCAGGUCUCUGGGCCGCAACUGACGCUGAGGAGCGAAAGCGUGGGGAGCGAACAGGAUUAGAUACCCUGGUAGUCCACGCCGUAAACGGUGGGCACUAGAUGUGGGGCUCAUUCCAUGAGUUCCGCGUCGCAGCUAACGCAUUAAGUGCCCCGCCUGGGGAGUACGGCCGCAAGGGCUAAAACUCAAAGGAAUUGACGGGGGCCCGCACAAGCGGCGGAGCAUGCGGAUUAAUUCGAUGCAACGCGAAGAACCUUACCAAGGCUUGACAUAUACCCUCUACCCCCAGAGAUGGGGGGUGCUUCGGCGGGGUAUACAGGUGGUGCAUGGUUGUCGUCAGCUCGUGUCGUGAGAUGUUGGGGUUAAGUCCCGCAACGGAGCGCAACCCUCGUCCUAUGUUGCCAGCACGUAAUGGUGGGGACUCAUAGGAGACUGCCGGGGUCAACUCGGAGGAAGGUGGGGAUGACGUCAAAUCAUCAUGCCCCUUAUGUCUUGGGCUUCACGCAUGCUACAAUGGCCGGUACAAAGGGCUGCAAUACCGUAAGGUGGAGCGAAUCCCAAAAAGCCGGUCUCAGUUCGGAUUGAGGUCUGCAACUCGACCUCAUGAAGUC
rnacentral:rRNA from 1 species